rnacentral:rRNA from 1 species
AGCGAACGCUGGCGGCAGGCCUAACACAUGCAAGUCGAACGGAUCCUUCGGGAUUAGUGGCGGACGGGGGAGUAACACGGGGGAACGUGCCCUUUGGUUCGGAACAACUCAGGGAAACUUGAGCUAAUAACGGAUGGGCCCUUCGGGGGAAAGAUUUAUCGCCAUUGGAGCGGCCCGCGUCUGAUUAGCUAGUUGGUGAGGUAACGGCCCACCAAGGCGACGAUCAGUAGCUGGUCUGAGAGGAUGAUCAGCCACACUGGGACUGAGACACGGCCCAGACUCCUACGGGAGGCAGCAGUGGGGAAUCUUGCGCAAUGGGCGAAAGCCUGACGCAGCCAUGCCGCGUGAAUGAUGAAGGUCUUAGGAUUGUAAAAUUCUUUCAGCGGGGACGAUAAUGACGGUACCCGCAGAAGAAGCUCCGGCUAACUUCGUG